rnacentral:rRNA from 1 species
AGCGAACGCUGGCGGCAGGCUUAACACAUGCAAGUCGAGCGGGCACUUUCGGGUGUCAGCGGCGGACGGGUGAGUAACGCGUGGGAACGUGCCCUCUGGUUCGGAAUAACUCAGGGAAACUUAAGCUAAUACCGGAUACGCCCUUUUGGGGAAAGGCUUGCUGCCGGAGGAUCGGCCCGCGUCUGAUUAGCUAGUUGGUGAGGUAACGGCUCACCAAGGCGACGAUCAGUAGCUGGUCUGAGAGGAUGAUCAGCCACACUGGGACUGAGACACGGCCCAGACUCCUACGGGAGGCAGCAGUGGGGAAUAUUGGACAAUGGGCGCAAGCCUGAUCCAGCCAUGCCGCGUGAGUGAUGAAGGCCUUAGGGUUGUAAAGCUCUUUUAUCCGGGACGAUAAUGACGGUACCGGAGGAAUAAGCCCCGGCUAACUUCGUG